rnacentral:rRNA from 1 species
GGGUCAGUACGCUGGUCGUGCCUUGGUAUGCACUGGUGUCACUGAUUCCUCCCUUCUGAAGAACCGUUAUGCCAUUUAUUUGGUGUGAUGGGGAAUCAGGACUGUUACUUUGAAAAAAUUAGAGUGUUUAAAGCAGGCUCGCGCUUGAAUACAUUAGCAUGGAAUAAUGAAAUAGGACGUUUGAUCUUAUUUUGUUGGUUUCUAGGAUCGACGUAAUGAUUAAUAGGGAUAGUUGGG